GACGAACCGAGCGAACGUUAUUCGGAAUCACUGGGCUUAAAGGGUGCGUAGGCGGGCACGCGAGUCAGGGGUGAAAUCCCACGGCCCAACCGUGGAAGUGCCUCUGAUACCGCGAGCCUCGAGGGGGAUAGGGGCGUGCGGAACUUCCGGUGGAGCGGUGAAAUGCGUAGAUAUCGGAAAGAACACCAACGGCGAAAGCACUCUGCUGGGCCGACACUGACACUGAGAGACGAAAGCUAGGGGAGCGAAUGGG
rnacentral:rRNA from 1 species